rnacentral:rRNA from 1 species
UACGGAGGGAGCUAGCGUUGUUCGGAAUUACUGGGCGUAAAGCGUACGUAGGCGGUUAUUCAAGUCAGGGGUGAAAGCCUGGAGCUCAACUCCAGAACUGCCCUUGAAACUAGAUAGCUAGAAUCUUGGAGAGGUGAGUGGAAUUCCGAGUGUAGAGGUGAAAUUCGUAGAUAUUCGGAAGAACACCAGUGGCGAAGGCGACUCACUGGACAAGUAUUGACGCUGAGGUACGAAAGCGUGGGGAGCAAACAGG